CCCGGCGCACGGGUGAGUAACACGUAUGCAAUCCACCUGUAACAGGGGGAGUAACCCGGAGAAAUCCGGACUAAUACCCCAUAAUAUGGGCGCUCCGCAUGGAGAGUUCAUUAAAGAGAGCAAUUUUGGUUACAGACGAGCAUGCGCUCCAUUAGCCAGUUGGCGGGGUAACGGCCCACCAAGGCGACGAUGGAUAGGGGUUCUGAGAGGAAGGUCCCCCACAUUGGAACUGAGACACGGUCCAA
rnacentral:rRNA from 1 species